GUGCUUAACACAUGCAAGUCGAACGGUGAAAGGUGGAGCUUGCUCUGCUGGAUCAGUGGCGAACGGGUGAGUAACACGUGAGUAACCUGCCCCUCACUUCGGGAUAACCUCGGGAAAUCGUGGCUAAUACCGGAUACGAGGCACCYUUCGCAUGGGGUGUGCCUGGAAAGAUUUAUCGGUGGGGGAUGGACUCGCGGCCUAUCAGCUUGUUGGUGGGGUAAUGGCCCACCAAGGCGACGACGGGUAGCCGGCCUGAGAGGGCGACCGGCCACACUGGGACUGAGAUACGGCCCAGACUCCUACGGGAGGCAGCAGUGGGGAAUAUUGCACAAUGGGCGCAAGCCUGAUGCAGCGACGCCGCGUGGGGGAUGAAGGCCUUCGGGUUGUAAACCCCUUUCAGCAGGGAAGAAGCGAGAGUGACGGUACCUGCAGAAGAAGCGCCGGCUAACUACGUGCCAGCAGCCGCGGUAAUACGUAGGGCGCAAGCGUUGUCCGGAAUUAUUGGGCGUAAAGAGCUCGUAGGCGGUUUGUCGCGUCUGGUGUGAAAACUCAAGGCUCAACCUUGAGCUUGCACCGGGUACGGGCAGACUAGAGUGCGGUAGGGGUGACUGGAAUUCCUGGUGUAGCGGUGGAAUGCGCAGAUAUCAGGAGGAACACCGAUGGCGAAGGCAGGUCACUGGGCCGCAACUGACGCUGAGGAGCGAAAGCAUGGGGAGCGAACAGGAUUAGAUACCCUGGUAGUCCAUGCCGUAAACGUUGGGCACUAGGUGUGGGGCUCAUUCCACGAGUUCCGUGCCGCAGCAAACGCAUUAA
rnacentral:rRNA from 1 species